rnacentral:rRNA from 1 species
GAUUAGCUAGUUGAUGAGGUAACGGCCCACCAAGGCAACGAUCGGUAGCCGGACUGAGAGGUUGAACGGCCACAUUGGGACUGAGACACGGCCCAGACUCCUACGGGAGGCAGCAGUGGGGAAUAUUGCACAAUGGGGGAAACCCUGAUGCAGCGACGCCGCGUGGAGGAAGAAGGUCUUCGGAUUGUAAACUCCUGUUGUUGAGGAAGAUAAUGACGGUACUCAACAAGGAAGUGACGGCUAACUACGUGCCAGCAGCCGCGGUAAAACGUAGGUCACAAGCGUUGUCCGGAAUUACUGGGUGUAAAGGGAGCGCAGGCGGGAAGACAAGUUGGAAGUGAAAUCCAUGGGCUCAACCCAUGAACUGCUUUCAAAACUGUUUUUCUUGAGUAGUGCAGAGGUAGGCGGAAUUCCCGGUGUAGCGGUGGAAUGCGUAGAUAUCGGGAGGAACACCAGUGGCGAAGGCGGCCUACUGGGCACCAACUGACGCUGAGGCUCGAAAGUGUGGGUAGCAAACAGGAUUAGAUACCCUGGUAGUCCACACCGU